UUACGGUCAUAUCACGUUGAAACGUCAGUUCCUGUACGAUCACCGAAGUUAAGCAACGUCAAGCCUAGUCAGUUCCUAGAUGGGUGACCACUUGGGAAUAUCAGGUGCUGUAGG